CACGCGUUCCCAUCUCCAUUCCCGUUCGUAGGGUACGAACCGGUAGGAUCGUCCUGACUCUCAUCUAAGGGCAAAGCCCAGAUUUCCACAAUAAUUGUAAAGGGUCACCAACUGAAAUUAACAGAUAACACAUAACAUUUAAGUUUUAAAUGCACAAAAUAACCUUUCAACUAAGCAUGCACCUUAAAAGGAUUUUCCAUAUGCUAAAAGUUCAUAUAAUGCUUGCCAAUUAACAAUGAACUCAAAAUGAAGUUCUCAAACCAUCAAGUAACAAUAAACUCAAAAUGAAGUUCUCAAACCAUCAAGUAAUACAUAACUGACCAAAGCAUUGAUAAAUCAAUUGAGCAAUCGAUUAUCUAACUCAAAAUAAGGACUUUUGUUGAGCCAAUCGAUUGCCAAAUCAAUUUGGUCAGUUCUGCUGAGUUUCUGCAUGACCAAAUCGAUUUCUAAGUCGAUUUUGUCAGUUCUGAUGAGUCCCUGUGUUGCCAAAUCGAUUUCCAAAUCGAUUUGGGCAGUUUUGCUGAGUUCCUGCCUCUCUGCCAAUCGAUUUCCAAAUCGAUUUCUUAAAAGAUUUUGAAAGACAUAUUUAUACAAUCGAUUGGCAAAUCGAUUAGGUCAAAAUGGUGAACUUCCUGCAACUCAUCCAAUCGAUUGGGAAAUCGAUUUCCCUCAUCAUUUUUCCAAAAAUUCAUAACUAACUCAAUCACAUUCAUACAUAAUCUCAAAUCCUAACACUUAGCACUGAUAACGCAAUCGCUACAACAUCAUUAGUUUCGAAAUAGUAUUGCAAGCAAACAUGUUAUCACCAAAUUCCAAAACAUAACACUUAACAUUUAUAACACAAUUAAUACAACAUCAUGGGUUUCAAAAUGGUAUAGCAAUCCAACAUGUUAUCACCAAAUUCCAAAACAUAACACUUAACAUUUAUAACACAAUCAAUACAACAUCAUGGGUUUCAAAAUGGUAUAGCAAUCCAACAUGUUAUCACCAAAUUCCAAAACAUAACACUUAUAACACAAUUACUACACAUACCAAAUGAACCAACAAUUCACAAUUUAACAGGGUGUAGUCUCUCACGGACAAACACCUGUGCAGUCUCUCACGGACAAACACAAUUCCCUCAGGAACGUAACUCGUAAACGUACCACCUAUCACGGGUCAGUACUGUUUACCGAGGUGCCACCUAUCCCGGGUCUGCACAACUUACCAAACGUAAAUCGUAAACGUACUGUCUAUCACGGACCCGUACCGUUUACCAAGGUGCCACCUAUCACGGGUCUGCACGAUUUACCAAAACAUACAUAAGUAAACGAGACAUUAAGAGAUUCCCCAUUCUUAAUUCUCAUCUAACUUAAACCAGGGCGUAGUCUCUCACGGACAAACCCCUGCGCAGUCUCUCACGGACAAACGCAAUUCCCGCAGGAACGUAAAUUGUAAACGUACUACCUAUCCCGGGUCCGUACUGUUUACCGAGGUGCCACCUAUCCCGGGUCAGCACAACUUACCAAAACAUACACGAGUAAACGAGACAUUAAGAGAUUCCCCAUUCUUAAUUCUCAUCUAACUUAAACCAGGGCGUAGUCUCUCACGGACAAACCCCUGCGCAGUCUCUCACGGACAAACGCAAUUCCCGCAGGAACGUAAGUCGUAAACGUACUACCUAUCACGGGUCCGUACCGUUUACCGAGGUGCCACCUAUCCCGGGUCUGCACAACUUACCAAACACAAUUCCCUCAGGAACGUAAGUCGUAAACGUACUACCUAUCACGGGUCCGUACUGUUUACCGAGGUGCCACCUAUCCCGGGUCUGCACAACUUACCAAACACAAUUCCCUCAGGAACGUAAGUCGUAAACGUACUACCUAUCACGGGUCCGUACCGUUUACCGAGGUGCCACCUAUCCCGGGUCAGCACAACUUACCAAAACAUACACGAGUAAACGAGACAUUAAGAGAUUCCCCAUUCUUAAUUCUCAUCUAACUUAAACCAGGGCGUAGUCUCUCACGGACAAACCCCUACGCAGUCUCUCACGGACAAACGCAAUUCCCGCAGGAACGUAAGUCGUAAACGUACUACCUAUCACGGGUCCGUACCGUUUACCGAGGUGCCACCUAUCCCGGGUCAGCACAACUUACCAAAACAUACACGAGUAAACAAGACAUUAAGAGAUUCCCCAUUCUUAACGCCCAGUUAACUUAAACAAUUUUCCAAACAAAAUAAUAAGUAACCGAGACAUUAAGAGAUUCCCCAUUCUUAACGCCCAGUUAACUUAAACGGUUUUCAAAACAAAAUGUUAAGUAACCGAGACAUUAAGAGAUUCCCCAUUCUUAACGCCCAGUUAACUUAAACAAUUUUCCAAACAAAAUAACAAGUAACCGAGACAUUAAGAGAUUCCCCAUUCUCAACGCCCAGUUAACUUAAACAAUUUUCAAAACAAAAUAAUAAGUAACCGAGACAUUAAGAGAUUCCCCAUUCUUAACGCCCAGUUAACUUAAACGAUUUUCAAAACAAAAUAUUAAGUAACCGAGACAUUAAGAGAUUCCCCAUUCUCAACGCCCAGUUAACUUAAACAAUUUUCCAAACAAAAUAAUAAGUAACCGAGACAUUAAGAGAUUCCCCAUUCUUAACGCCCAGUUAACUUAAACGAUUUUUCUUUAAAACAAAAUAUUAAGUAACCGAGACAUUAAGAGAUUCCCCAUUCUUAACGCCCAGUUAACUUAAACGAUUUUUCUUUAAAACAAAAUAUUAAGUAACCGAGACAUUAAGAGAUUCCCCAUUCUUAACGCCCAGUUAACUUAAACGAUUUUCAAAACAAAAUAUUAAGUAACCGAGACAUUAAGAGAUUCCCCAUUCUUAACGCCCAGUUAACUUAAACGAUUUUCAAAACAAAAUAUUAAGUAACCGAGACAUUAAGAGAUUCCCCAUUCUUAACGCCCAGUUAACUUAAACGAUUUUCAAAACAAAAUAUUAAGUAACCGAGACAUUAAGAGAUUCCCCAUUCUUAACGCCCAGUUAACUUAAACGAUUUUUCUUUAAAACAAAAUAUUAAGUAACCGAGACAUUAAGAGAUUCCCCAUUCUUAACGCCCAGUUAACUUAAACGAUUUUUCUUUAAAACAAAAUAUUAAGUAACCGAGACAUUAAGAGAUUCCCCAUUCUUAAUACUCAUUUAACUUAAUGGUUUUCAAAUUCCACACAAAAAAACUCAAACAAAUUCUCACAUUCAAUUCAUAAUUCACACCAAAACACAUCAAUCAACAAACAUCAAGUAUGAACAUGCCAAAUACGAUGAACACAAAUCAACAUAAUAAAUUUCAUUUAUUCAAAAUCUUACAUACAUGAGGUAAAAUCAUUUUUCCCAAAACAAUACUCCAAUCCUAACACAAUUCGUUUCCACACAACCACAGAUAAGGCCCUAGAUGCAAACUAAAAGUUUGGAAGGAGCCCUUACCUUAACGUUAGCUCAAACGUGCGUUUCCGGUACCGUGAGUAAAUCCGGUAAAUUUUCCGCUCGCAACACCGCUUCCAAAACUGGUCCACUAGCGCCGUAGCACGGUAGUGAGCAACUUUCCCUUCUAACUCUUCGCGAAAUGAAGCUUGGAUCUAGAAGAAACGAAGGGGUUUGUGUUUGAAUCUCAAAUACCGUUUUUCUUCGUUUUCGGAUCAAAGAGGAAGAGUGGAGUUGCGAAACCUUUGUUCUAACACUCACCCAACCUUGGGUUACUAGUCUUGAAGAAAAGAAAGCAACGAAAAUGAAAAUGGGAGAAGGAGGGAAAAUGGGUCGCGCACGCAGGGAGAGGAAGAAGAUGAAGUUUUGGAUUUUCUUUCCUUCCUUUUUCCUUUCUUUGUUUUUCCUUCCUUUCUAUUUCCUUCUUUCCUUUAUAUAACCUUUUCUCUUCCUUUUCCUUCCUUCUAAUUUUCUUUCUUUCUAUUCUCUCCAAACAGUUUAUGCAAAUCUACCUUAUGAUAUUUUCUCAUGUUCCUUGGAGGAUGUGGAAUUUCUUGAGGUAGUCCAAAUUGUAGUUUCACUCUAUUAGUUUGAUGCAUUUCUAUUAGGUAGAAACAAAUUAAAUAUGUAGAUGCAUUCCAUAGGCAAUUGUCUUCUGGAUGAUCGUAUGUUAGACCUAGAUAUGGCCUCCAAAUAAACUGAUAUAUAACAAGUUUGUUAGUAAUAUAUGCAUAAGAAAAGUAAAAUAAUAAAAAUAAUGUAAUGUUUUAAUAUAUUACAUCGUUAACGGUCAUGUGAUCAAUUUUUUAUAGAUAUCCAGCGGUAUGAUAACGAGGUGUAUCGCCAAAUUUCAUACCCUUUCCACUAUAUCUACGAAAAUAAAUUUGAAUGUUAGUAAAUAAAUUAAUAUAUUUAUAAAUAUAAUAUUUAACUUUUUUUUAUAUUAACCUUUUUGAGAAUGGAAAAUGAGGCUCAAAAUUACUUAUUGGUGCAAGAAACGGCAUAUGGUACCAUGCCCACGUUUGAAGUAGAUGUGAACAUCCCCGAUCGACAUAACACCGGGUUCAGAUGCACGACACAAUUCUCUAUAAAGUGUUGCCAAGCAUGCUGAACCCCAACUAUAUUGUCCUGUCUCUCGCAAAUCUCUCAACAAGUGCAACCACAUAAUAUGUACUCUGUUGUGAGAUUUGUAAGGCAUUAAUAUGCCGCCAAUCAAUUCUAAAAUGCAUGCUCUACAAUGUGACUUAGAGUUUCUGAGUUUUAUUAUUAUGUAUUUUCUUCAAAGAACACUUACAGGUUUUCUCUGUAUUUCUAGUUUAAGGCUUGGAUACUCAUUAUGGUUUGUUUAAGGUGUUCUGGCUUGGAUACUCACAAUUUUUUUUCAACUGUGAUUAAAAUUUAAUUUUAAUUACAUUGCAUCUAAUCUUAAUAAUUUGGUUUCUAAUUUAAAAUGUAUUCUAUGUGCAGGUUUAUGGCUGAAAUUAAUUUUAUUUGUGAGUUGAAGUGAUAUGGAGUACCAUUGAAGGCUUAAAUCUUGUUAUGUUGAUUUAUGGUCUCAUAAAUUAAUUUUACAUCUUUUUGAUUAUUAAACUCCAAAAUAUUAUUAACUUUGGCUUAAAAACCUCCGAGCCAAAAUCCAAAAUACACCAAAAAUACAUAAAUGGUACUUUAAAAUUAUGGGUCUUACAUUACUCCCCCCCUAAAAUUAGUUUCGUCCUCGAAACUAUGCAUCGAUAAAUAACUCUGGGUGUUGUUCUCUCAUCUUGCUCUCCAAUUCCCAAGUCGCAUCUCCAGUGAUUGGGUUCCAAAUAACCUUGACCAACGAAACAUCCUUGGUCCUCAACCGCUUAAUCUUCCUAUCAUCAAUUCUCACGGGUGGUACUUCGAACGACAGGUUAUCCUUUAGCUGGAUUGCGUCUGGUUCGAUCACGUGAGAUGGAUCUGCGAGAUAUUUCCUCAACUGUGACACAUGAAACACGUCAUGAAUAUUGGACAGUAUCGGAGGUAAUGCAAUGCGAUAAGCCACCGGCCCAAUUCGUGCAGAAAUCUGAUAUGGUCCAAUGAAUUUCGGAGUCAACUUCUUCGAUUUCAAGGCUCUACCUACUCCAGUAGUAGGUGUGACUCUCAGAAAUACAUGGUCACCCUGUUCGAAUUCCAAAAGUCUGCGACGCUUGUCCACGUAACUCUUCUGACGAUCUUGUGAAGUCUUCAUUUUCUCCUUGAUCUUCCUUACUUUAAUUGUGGUAUGUUGCACCAUCUCUGGUCCGACAAUCAUAUUCUCACCGUCUUUAUACCAACACAAGGGCGUUUGACACUUGCGCCCAUAUAAAGCUUCAUAUGGUGCCAUUCCAAUACUUGCGUGGAAACUAUUGUUGUAAGUGAACUCAAUCAACGGAAGUACAUCAUCCCAGCUUCCCCUAUCAUCUAAUACACAUGCUCUCAACAGAUCUUCCAAGGACUGAUUCGUCCUUUCAGUCUGUCCGUCCGUUUGUGGAUGGUAAGCUGAACUCAAUCGUAGCUUCGUUCCCAACGCUUCGUGCAAUGCUCCCCAAAAAUGCGAUGUGAACUUCGGAUCACGGUCUGAUACAAUGCUCGAUGGUACCCCGUGUAACCUCACAAUUUCAGCAAUGUAGAUCUCCGUUAGCUGAUCUACCUUAUAGGUGGUCCUUACCGGCAAAAAGUGAGCAGAUUUAGUCAGCCGGUCCACUAUCACCCAUAUAGAAUCAUUCUUCCUCCUUGUCUUCGGUAAUCCGGUUAUAAAAUCCAUGGAAAUGCUGUCCCACUUCCAUUCAGGUAUAUCUAAAGGUUGCAACAUUCCAGCAGGUCGCUGAUGUUCCACCUUCGCUUUCUGACAAGUUAGACAAGUGGAUACAUAUUCCGCCACAUGUUUCUUCAUUCCUGGCCACCAAUAAUUCUGCCUCAAAUCCUGAUACAUCUUUGUUGCUCCAGGAUGAAUACUCAGCUUACUCUUAUGCGCCUCUUCUAAAAUCGUUUUCCGCAUAUCUGUAAUGGCUGGUACACAAAUCCUACCAUUACACCGCAAAACAUUAUCUGCCCCAAUCUUGAACUCAGUCGUCUUCCCUUGUACUAUUAGAUUCCUCUUCUCUUGAAUUAAGACGUCAUCCUGAGAAUUCGCAAUGUCUUCAAGUAAUCCACUCGAGAUCUUAAUCAUUCCGAAUUUCAAAAUUCCCGGUCCGAACUCUACGUUCAAGUGUAGGUCUCUAAAAGCCUCCUGGUUCGGGGAAAAGAACCAAUUUCCGAGCACAAUCCAAGAUCACAUAGUGAUAAGACAUCCAAUCCAUACCGAGGAUGACCUCGAGUGAUUGUAGCGGUAAACAAAUUAGAUUAACCAAGAAAUCCCUAUUCUGAAUAGUCAUUCGACAAUGUAAACAUGCUGAAUUUACGGUUAAGGUCUUAGCAGGCGUGGAAACAACCAAAUCAAAAGGUAAAGCAGACACAGAUAACUUCAAGCGAUUCACACAGUCCAUAGCAAUGAAGGAAUGGGUUGCCCCCGAAUCAAAGAGUGCAGUUAGAGUGUUACCUGCAAUCUCACAAUCACGCUGAAUCAGAUUACCAGAUGGAUUUCCCUCUUCAGCAUUCACACAAUAAAUGCGUCCUCUAGCAGUAGGACGGGUAGCCCUAGCUACAUUCACCACUGGUUCCACCUUUGGAGCCGUGCACUCCCUUGCCAUGUGCCCCGACUUCUGACAAUUGUGACAGAUGGGGAUGUUAGUGGUACAAGCACUAGCAUAGUGUCCUUCUUUCCCACAUCGGAAACAUCGAAGCACUUGCCCCAUUUGCCUUCCGAAAUUCUGGUUCCCUGGGCGACUCGGUCCACCGUUGUUAUUCUGGGGGCGAUUAUAAGGUUUAGCCACUUGUUUUCCCCUAUUCUGAUAAGUCGCCCGACUAGGGCCUCCCGAAUUAAAAUUCCCAACUCGGCUAGCCCUCUUGUUCUUCAUAUCUUCCACUUCUCUACAUUUCUCUACCAGCGCUUGGAAACGUUGAAUUCCCAAAGGUAAGACGGAAUCUUGAAUCUCAUACUUCAAUCCGUCUUGGAAACGAUGACACAUGAACGGUUCAUCAAUUUCUUCACGGAAGAACCUGAAAUGCCUCGAUAGUGAUUCAAAUUUAGCAGCAUACUCGCCCACAGUCAGGCUCCCCUGGUGAAGUUUCAGAAAGUCGUCACCCAACUUAGUCCUGGUACUCAUCGGAAAGUAUUUGUCUAAAAACUUUCUUUUGAACGAUUCCCAGUUCACCUCCUCGUGGGCUGCUCCCAUCAACAACCUUGCACUCCUCCACCAGUAUUCAGCAUCCCCUAGCAACAUAUACGUGGCAUAGCUGACCUUCACUCCAGCCUGGCAGUUAAUCAUAUCAAAGAUUUUCUCCACUUCUUGGAUCCAUUGAUCCGCCUUCUCUGAACCCUCAUCCCCCUUGAACUUAGGAGGAUUGUAACGACGGAAGUCUUCCAACCCUCUUGAUUCUGCAGCACGGAUCUCUCUUCCCCUCUUUUCAAGAUCCCGUUGAGUCUUGGCAGCGGUCUGUGCAGCGACAGAAGCAGCCAUGUUGUUCAUAGCCUCCGCCAUUUGGUCAUUCCUAGCGUUGGCUCUCGGAGCGUCAUUCCUUCUGGGCGGCAUGGUUUCCUAUAAGAACCAUCAUCAAGUAGAGUUUUAACACUACUUCAAAUAAUUCUAAACUAACGUCCGACUAACAACACACAAUUAAAUUGGACUUGACAACUCAAGUCACCUAAACCGACACAUGAUCAGAUAACAACUCCUAACUUAUAGGUCGACCUACAAUCUAUAACCAAGGUUCCACAGCUCCCAAAGAAAACUAAACCUAUGCUCUGAUACCACAAUGUAACACCCCGUUUUUCAAAGCGAGGGUAUAUUUUUUUUUUUCUAAAAGUAAUUAAAACGAACAAAGAAUAAAUCAGGAAAUGCUUUUGGAUAAAUAAUUGAGUCAUUAUAAUUUACGCAGCGGAAAAGUUUCUCCAAUUAUAAAUCCAAAACAUUUUUACAUAAACAUCAAAUGGUACAUGGGACCCAUUCAAAGAUGAUAUAAAACUGAUAAUAUUUGUAUAAGUACAGUUUUCCAAAACUAAAAUACUCCAAACCAAAAAGAAGGACCCCUAGUCCCUAUACAUCAUCCUAAUCUGAUCAUCCUACCAAAAACUAUACACCCUGAGUAAUCUCCACGCGCCCCGUGAGAUCCUCCUAACACAACAGCAGUCAAGCGUUCCCAUCUCCAUCCCUGUCCGUAGGGUACGAACCAGUAGGGCCGUCCUGACUCUCAUCUGAGGGCAAAGCCCAGAUUUCCACAAUAGUGUAAAGGGUCACCAACCAGAAAAUAACAGUUAACACAUAGCAAUUAAGUUUUUGAAUGCUCAAAACAACUUUUUAACUAAGCAUGCACCUUAACAGGAUUUUCAAUGUGCGAAAAGUUCAUACAUUACAUUGCCAAUGAAAAUGAAGGUAAAAUGCAGUUCUCGAUCUCCUAAUUAACACAUGGUAAAACAAAACAUGGAUAGAUUCAUGAGCAAUUAAUCAUACAACUAAAAAUGAGGAUUUUCACUGAGCCAAUCGAUUGGGCAAUCGAUUGGGGUGAAGAUUUUUAAUGAAAACAGAAUCCUGGGCUGAAUUCAAUCGAUUGGUAAAUCGAUUGAUUGGUUCCUGAGCCCCUGGUUUCGAGCCAAUCGAUUUCCUAAUCGAUUUGGUGAGGGAUUCUUAAUGAAAACAGAAUCCUGGGCUGAAUUCAAUCGAUUGGUAAAUCGAUUGAUUGGUUCCUGAGCCCCUGACUUAAGGCCUAAUCGAUUGGGCAAUCGAUUUCUUAACUGAUUCCUUUGAAAAUUGUUUUCGAAAUCGAUUGGCUAAUCGAUUUUGUUCAUUUGGCCAAGCCCCUGACUUCCAUCCAAUCGAUUGGGAAAUCGAUUUCCCUGAUCAGUUUUCCAAAAAUUCAUGAAUUAACCUAAGUCAUUCCUAAUCAAGUUCACCACUUAACACUUAGCAAUUUCUACGCGAUUACUACGACACACAAAGGUUCGAUAACCAUCAUACUCACACACAAUACACAACACAUAGCACUUAACACCUUCAUCUCAGUUAUCACGAUAAAUCAAAAUUCGAAUCACUCAAUCAUAAACUCAAAUCAAACAUGACUCGCGUGCCAGGCACCCUAAUGCAAUGCGUAUAUGCCAAAAUGCAUGGACUCGGAAUUCCAAACCAAAACCCUCCUCGAAGGGCCGUAAAUCAUAAUUGUACCGCCUAUCGCAGGCCAAAGUACCAAUUACCGAGGUGCCACCUAUCACGGGUCAGCACGAUUUACUAAAAUGCGUAAAUCAUAAACGUACCACCUAUCACGGGUCAGUACAGUUUACCGAGGUGUCACCUAUCACGGGUCAACACGAUUUACUAAAAGAAAAAGCGGGAAUCGUAAAUGUACCACCUAUCACGGGUCAGUACAGUUACCAUGGUGUCACCUAUCACGGGUCAACACGAUUUACUAAAAGAAAAAGCGGGAAUCGUAAAUGUACCACCUAUCACGGGUCAGUACAGUUUACCAAGGUGUCACCUAUCACGGGUCAACACGAUUUACUAAAAUGUAAAUCGCAAACGUACAACCUAUCACGGGUCCGUACAGUUUACCAAGGUGUCACCUAUCACGGGUCAACACGAUUUACUAAAAUGUAAAUCGCAAACGUACAACCUAUCACGGGUCCGUACAGUUUACCAAGGUGUCACCUAUCACGGGUCGACACAAUUUACCAAAUGAAAUGCAUGAGCAUACACAGACUCCAUUCACAACAAUCGUUAAGCAAAUGCAGAUAUUAAAAGAUUCCCCAUUUUUAAUACCCAUUUAACUUAAACGACUUUCAAACAACAUUAAUUAAAUAAGUCAUUAAGAGAUUCCCCGUUCUUAAUACCGAUUUAUCUUAAUGAUUUUCAAAACAAAACGUUAAGCAAACAGUCAUAUUAAGAGAUUCCCCAUUCUUAAUAUACUUUUGACUUAAACGAUUUUCACACAAAAUAUUCAGUAAACGAGUCAUUAAGAGAUUCCCCAUUCUUAACACUCAUUUACCGGAACGAUUUUCAAAAACGAUCGUUAAGUAACCGGGACAUUAAGAGAUUCCCCAUUCUCAACGCCCAGUUAACUUAAACCUUUUCCUCAAAUGCACAUUAAGUAAACCGAGGUAUUAAAAGAUUCCCCAUUUUUAAUACUCGUUUAACUCUAAUGGUUUUCAAAUUCCACGGAAACAAACUCAAACAUACUCUCACAUUCAAACCAUAAUUCACAACAACCACACCAAUUAACAAACAUCAAGUAUGGACACGCCAAAUACAACGAACACAAAUCAAAGCCAACAUAACACCCAGAUACAUCAAAUUUCAUUUACCCAUAAUCAUACACAAUGACAUUCAAAUUCAUUUACCACGAAACAUUCAUCACUAUAAACAAAACCUAACUCUAAGGUUUUUACCCAUAACGCACUAGUUUCGUUUUUCCCCAAAUCGAUACAUUUAACCCUAACAAAUUCCUUCCCACACAACCACAGAUAAGUCCCUAAUGCAACUAGAAGUUUGGAAGGUGCCCUUACCUCAAUGUUAGCUUUAUCGUGCGUUUCCGGUACCGCGAGUAAUUCCGGUAAAAUCUCCGCUCGCAACGCCGCUUCCAAAUUAGUUCCCUAGCACCGUAGCGUGGUGGUGAGCAACUUUCCCUUCUAUCUCUUCGAGAAAUGAGGUUUGGAUCUAGGAGAAACGGAGGGGUUUGUGUUUGGAUCUCAAAAACCGUUUUUCUUCGUUUUCGAAUCAAAGAGGAAGAGUGGAGUUGCGAAAACCUUGAUCUAACUCUCACCCAACCUUGGGUUACUAGUUUUGAAGAAAAGAAAGCGACGAAAAUGAAAACGGGAGAAAGUAGAAAAAUAGGUCACGGUUAGAGGAAGAAGAUGGAAUUUUUCGUUUUCCUUCCUUUCUUUUUCUUUCCUUUGUUUUUCCUUUCUUCCUUUUUCCUUCCUUCCUUUUAUACUAUUUUCUUUUCCUUUUCCUUCCUUCUAGUUUUCCUUUCUUCUAGUUUUCCUUUCUUUUUCCCUCCAAACAAACAUAAAUAGAUAAUAAAUAUAACUUAACAAAUAUCUCAAAAUACCUAGACAUUUGUUAAAUUACCGUUUCACCCGAAACGCAUUAAAUUCUCCGUAAAGGAUUCACCGCACUUAAUUUAAAUUUAUUUAUCGACGAGAAAUUUUAAUUGGCAUCAAAACAUCUUUUUGAUUAUUAAACUCCAAAAUAUUAUUAACUUUGGCUUAAAAACCUCCGAGCCAAAAUCCAAAAUACACCAAAAACACAUAAAUGGUACUUUAAAAUUAUGGGUCUUACAGCCUACAUCAGGUCUAUGUCAGAUCAGGCUUUCUUUUUAAACAGAGAAGGUCAAGGCUUCUAAAAAAGCCUAUUUAAUUAAAAAGGUUUGGCUAUAGGCCACAUAAUAAACCUUUUACGCCGACCUAUUUAAAUAAAUAUAAAUAAUAUUUUUUUACCACUAUGAUUAUUAUAUUAAAUUUUGAUAUUUGUGUUAUAUAUAUUCAACUUUUAGUAAUUUACACAUAUUAACCUUAUUUAGUUUUUGGCAUAUUUAAAUGUAUUAUUAUAAAAUAUAAUUUAAGCAGGAUGUAUAUAUAGUCACAUUCUUCAAAAUGUGAUGUUAAAUAUCAAAAUAGAACUUAAUUUCAUUGACAUAUUAACUCAUUAAUCUAUUUAAAUAUAUGUUUGAUUACUUAUUCAAAAAUAUUAAAAUGAAAUAAGCAUUUAAGUAGGCUAAGAGACCAUAUCAGACUUCUAUCAAGGUCAGACUAAGGCCUAAAAAGUAAGCCUAUGACAGGACACACGCCAAGCGUAGGGCUUGAAUUUUUUGACAUGUCAGGCUUAUGCUUAGCAAAGCCUAACUCGACCCAGCCUAUUCCCACCCCUACUUGUACUAGUUCCAGUGAAGAGGCCAUAGAGCAAAAGCUUAAGCCAUUAUCCUUUCUCAUUUCAAAGUUAUUAUUUGGGAGGGGAGAAGCUCUCAACCAUGAUUCAUAUGAAAAAAUCUUUUUCUUCAAUCACUUCAAAACCUUCCCCAUCAUUUGUCACAGUUUCAUCACAGUCCCGGAGUUGGUGCCCAAUUCUCCCACAUAAAAAAAUCAGAAAUUGGGUCUGAUGUUUAGGUCUGAAGACUAGGUCUAAAGAUUGCCUCUAAAGAAUGGCUCUAAAACUGAGUCUAAAAACUGCCUCUGAAGAUUGAAUUUAAAGCAUGCCUCUAAAGCUCUUGCAUAUCUCUGAUGUACACAAACUUAGCAUAUACCUAAAGAGUUCAUAUCAAGGUAUAAUUAACUCUGAAGAUAUUAUUCAAAUCAUAAAGUCAAAGUUCACAAUCCGCUGAUCAAAAUGGUGCAACACACUCCAAAUGCUGCCUCUGAUAAGCAGCCUCUAAUGUUGCACCGACUCUGAAGUUUCAACAAGGUGAUUUUCCUAAUGUCACUAACUCUAAGUCAUGCAAUUCUACCUUUGAGUAUCUUUAUUCAAGAAACACGACAUCUAACUCAAACAAGAGAGUCAGUGCCUAUGCUGAAAAGUCAACGACUGAAAUUGAAAUAAUUAAGUAUGAAAAAAAAAAAUUAGCCGACUCCAAAACUUGUGAAUAUCCAAGAACAACCCGAAUCCAUUUCAGCUCAAAUCAAGAAAGAGUAUGAAAGAAGACUCGUGUUUUGAAAGACAAUCUAAAAUAAUAUUUGAUUUAGAUUUAUAAUUGAAGAAAAUAUUUGACCAAGUUGAAAAGAAUAUAUGAUAAAGAUUUGAAGAUGAUAUGAUUCAUAUCUUAUCAACAAAAGAUAUGAAUUAUUUACAAGAACAUUUGAUCAAGAUUUAUCACAAGAAGAUAUGAAUUAUUUAAAAGAAGAUCUGAUCAAGAUUUAUCACAAGAAGAUAUAAAUUAUUUACAGUAAUAUUUUAUCAAAAUUUAUCUACAAGAAGAUAUGAAUUAUUUACAAGAAGAUUUGAUCAAGAUUUAUCUACUAGAAGAUAUGAAUUAUUUACAAGAAGAGUUUAUCAUAAUCUACAAGAAUAUUUGAAUUAUUUACAAGAAGAUAUGAUCAAAAAUUAUUUAGAAAAAGAAACACUCAUAUAUAUUUGGCUUAAUUGCAGUUUUGGUCCCCCUAUUUUAGCUAAAUCGCGAAAGUAGUCCCUCCAUUUUGUUUCUCCCCAGUUUUGGUCCCCCAAACAGAAUUUUGGUCCAAAACUUGAUGAAAUUUCAUUUUUUUAAAGCCGUACUAUAUCAUUUAUGAUCAUAGAUAUCAUAUACAAUUGUUGCAAAUGAGAUCUUGAGGCAUGGUGUGACUUAAAUAAAUACAAAAAAAAAAUGAAAUUUCAUCAAAUUUUGGACCAAAAUUAUGUUUGAGGGACCAAAACUGGGGAGAAAUAAAAUGGGGGGACUACUUUCGCGAUUUAGCUAAAAUAGGGGGGACCAAAACUGCAAUUAAGCCUAUAUAUUUUUAUUAUUUGCAAAGAUAUGAUUCAAAUUUUGCAAAGACGGAUGAAAACCUCUAACUUAUUUUAUAAAUAGAUACACAAGGCUGAAGAACAAAAUAAGAUAACUUACGAGCACAAAAUUUACUAAGUCAUUAGAGUUCAUAAAGUUAAGAUCUAGAGAAACAUUUGCUCAAAAGAUAUAUUUUCUAAGUGUUUUCUAGUGUGAGAGUAAUUGUUACAACCAACUUGUUAGAAGCAAACAAAUUUGUUCCCAACUCUUGUAACCAUGUCUGAAUUUUGUGUUCCUCGAGAAAUUUGUAGAUUUUCAAGUUGUGAUGAGAAAAUUUGGUUUGUAGAAUCAAAGUGUUUGUUUUUCGUAGGUGACAAAUUAUUUUGAGAAUAUUGAUUUGUAGAGUCAGGUGUUGUGUAAUUCAAGUUUUGAAUUAGUGGAUUAAAUCAUGAAAGGACUAAACGUAGCUACUAAAUUGGUGGUGAAUCAGGAUAAAUUAUUGUAUCACUUUAAUUAUGUAAUUUUUGUUUUAUUUUUGUCUCUCAUCACUUAACUCAAUUGCUACUACUUUUAUUUUAAGUCACCAAACUCGAGUCAAUUUUAAAUAAAUUAACAAAAACAAUCAAACUUAGUCAAAACCAAUUCAAUUCUCUUUUCAUAUUUGCAGCUUUAGUAACCUUUGGAUCUGCUGCCUCAAAUUCUCCCAUGAUUGCCCCCAGUUUUUUUGCCAUGAACUCACUACGGAGUUUCAAGGGAAGGUCGCACACUCUUGUCCAGAAUGAGAUCGAACUCGUAUCCAUUUCAGACUACGAUGUUACGAUCAAAACUCCAUGGACCAGCCUUAAUCACAUUUUCUAAAUCUCGUAUUGAAAAAAAAACAAAAGAGAUACAGGUUCUUACCGAGUUCCUGAGUCUCUAUUAGGUUCUUAGGUCUCCAAAAUUCCACAAUCUUAGUUUUGAAAUCUCAGACAUUAUAACUGCUGUUAGUCCACAACUUUCCAACAGGGGAUCUUCUAAAGAAAUCCUCUUCCAUAUGUUCUUCAUCUUCCUCUGUAACCCCAAUCACGCCAUCUUCGAACCUAACAGCUUAAGACUCUUACGAAGACAAAAUUCAAAAUCCUGGAGAGCGCAGGGAGCUUCCAGGAUGAAACCUAGGGUAAGAUCCAAGAAAGGAAGUCUUUUUUAAUGUUGACUCUUGUUCAUUUAUAUAGCUUAUAUUUAAUUGCAAGUGAUAUCUUAAGUUUUUAGACUGUAACUAUCAUAUUGGUUAUUUGUACAUAGCUCUUUAUUUUCUAAUUUAUGGUGCCGUAUUUCAAAUUAGUAAGAAA
rnacentral:lncRNA from 1 species